GACCGCUCCGGUGGCCUAAUGGUUAGAGUUUCCGCAUCGAAUGCGGGAGGUUGUGGGUUCUAUCCACAGCCGAGUCU